GCCUGGGUGGCUCAGUCGGUUAAGUGUCUGACUUCGGCUCAGGUCAUGAUCUCACGGUUUGUGGGUUUGAGCCCCGCGUCAGGCU
rnacentral:tRNA from 1 species